CCAGAUGAGGAAUAAAGAAAAAUUGUUUAUAGCCUUAAAUGCUUUCUUUGCAGUUUUCCUUCUGUCUAUUGGACUGGACACAUUUUCUGCCGUCACAGACCAGUGAUUAGACAUCAGAUUACGUCUUGAUGUUAUAACUGUGCUGCCCUCUAAUGGAGGUCUGGGAAUCCCAGUUUCCGCGGGACUCAGCACUCCAUUUUGGAAUCAAUCCAGCUCAGGUGGACAGUGUCUGUGUCACCACUGCUAAAACUCUUGGGUGCAGAGAAACUUUAAAGCCAUUUCUGGGAAGCCUGUGGUCUUCCCUUUGGCAUUUUGGAGAAAAACAUUUUUGACAAGAACACAAAAUAAUCGAGUUGUGAUCCCCCCAAUUCUGAUCAUACAGCACACUCAAGCCCAUGGAAAACAAUU
rnacentral:lncRNA from 1 species